GUGUCAGCCGCCGCGGUAAAACGUAGGAGCCAAGCGUUAUCCGAAUUCACUGGGCGUAAAGCGUGUGCAGGCGGUGCGAUAAGUUGGAUGUGAAAUCUCCUGGCUCAACUGGGAGAGGCCGUUCAAUACUGUCGGACUAGAGGGCAACAGAGGGAGGUGGAAUUCCCGGUGUAGUGGUGAAAUGCGUAGAUAUCGGGAGGAACACCAGUGGCGAAAGCGGCCUCCUGGGUUGUACCUGACGCUCAGACACGAAAGCUAGGGGAGCGAACGGGAUUAGAAACCCCGGUAGUCCUAGCCGUAAACGAUGUAGACUGGGUGUUGGAGGGGUAAAAGCCUUCGGUGCCGAAGCUAACGCGAUAAGUCUACCGCCUGGGGACUACGGCCGCAAGGUUAAA
rnacentral:rRNA from 1 species